rnacentral:lncRNA from 1 species
AUGUCACAUGAAAAAGUGUCUGCAGACAGUUAUGAAGCCAAAGGGAUAGUGACUGUUUUGUGCAAAACCCAGUUUAGACACCACGAAGGGAAACGUGCCAGAAAAAGAAGCAGAAGGGAAGGAGAUUCUACUUUGAUUUCAGGCAAAUUUGAUUGCUCAAUCUCUGAAGAAGGAGAAAGUAAAAAAAUCAAAAAGAGAAGCAUUUCUUUUGCAAAGCACGAGGGGAAAAAAGAACUUAUCUUAGGAAACAGACUGCAAAUAGGACAUUGUAAGAGCAGAGUUUUGAUGUUAAUGCUAUUAUUCCAUCCAUCAUGUAUCAAAGGAAGACUCCACAUAAGAUGGUGCACCUAUGAAUAAAGAGAGUCAACAUUUCACAAGUGAUAAUAAG